rnacentral:lncRNA from 1 species
CGCAAGCUGCAUUGUUUUACCAUUAUUAGUUUAAUAGAUGAUGAUUUUCGCUUUGUGAUAUGCACGGGUUGUUAUCACGUCAUUAAAAGAAAUAGUUGCCUUCUUUAAACUGUGAUGUUUAGGAAGAACUCUUUGAAGUCUUUGUCAGCCGAGAAUCUGCUCAUUUGGAUACAGAACCGAGACAUCAGACAUCUGGGUCUAGAGGGAACCUUUUGUUUAAUUUCCUUCCUCUGGUGGGCCUUGAAAGGGAAACUGAAGCUCUAAGUUUAAUCGAACUGAGUCAUAGCAAUGACUGGAGGAGUCAGAGUGAGCCCUAGUUCAGCCAUUAAAUAAAUCAGAAUAUCAAGGGCUCGUCCCUCUCUUAUAUUCUAGCGCUCGAACAGAAGAUCGCGACAGUUAGGUGACAGCAGCAGUUUCAUUGCGGAAAAUCUUUAUUUAAAAAGACUGACGCGCCGAUUAACUCAGCUGAAUGGUUAAUUUUUUCCGCAUUCGCAGCCGUUGCCUUUAGGGAGUUGGGAGAGAGUUUGAGAAAGCUUAAUCAGUAUCUCUUUAUUAAACGCAACAUUUUCAACGACAUC